rnacentral:rRNA from 1 species
CUCGUAGGCUGCCAACUAAGUCAGACGUGAAAUCCCUCGGCUUAACCGGGGAACUGCGUCUGAUACUGGAUGGCUUGAGAUCGGGAGAGGGAUGCGGAAUUCCAGGUGUAGCGGUGAAAUGCGUAGAUAUCUGGAGGAACACCGGUGGCGAAGGCGGCAUCCUGGACCGACACUGACGCUGAGGAGCGAAAGCCAGGGGAGCAAACG